UUCCGUAGGGUAACCUGCGGAAGGAUCAUUACAACGAAACGGCGCCCUCACCGGCGCCGGUUCUCAAACCACUGCGUAUGAAGCUCUCGAGGUUGCCUCCCGGCUGGCGUGCGGCUCCCGCGCGCCCGCCGGGGGGGUCAACAGCCCGAGACUCGUUUCCUUCGCGGGGUACCCCCCCGCGGCAGGACGCUACCAAACAUUUUGUCAAGAUGUCAUCGUCUGAACCUAUUGAAAAAAUAGAAAAUACAACUUUUAACAAUGGAUCUCUUGGCUCCGGCAUCGAUGAAGAACGCAGCGAAAUGCGAUAACUAGUGUGAAUUGCAGAUUUCAGUGAAUCAUCGAGUCUUUGAACGCACAUUGCGCCUCUUGGUAUUCCUCGAGGCAUGCCUGUUCGAGCGUCGUUUCACCCCUCAAGCGCAAGCUUGGUGUUGGGGAUCGCCCCUGAAAUACGGCGGCGGCCCUUAAAUGCAUCGGCGGAGCUGGUACCAGCCCGGAGCGCAGCAGACAUGCAGCUUCCAGGCGACCUGGCCCCCGCCGGACAACGAAACUUUUAUACGUGUCGACACUCGAA
rnacentral:rRNA from 1 species